GUUAUUUCUGUAUAUUGUUAAUGGGUAUAGUGAAAUGUUAACUUAAUUUAACUACCAUAUUGAACUGUUUUUGUGCAAACUGUACCUCUUCACAGUAUCUAACAGAGACUCUAAAAGCAAGUGUUCACCACAAGGCCAUUGAUCAUCUUAAAAUAGGUCCACACUUAAAAGUUGGAAGUGUGAUAAUCCUACAAGAUGUUGCAAUUUUUUCACCAAUGCGCGGAACAUACUAUCUUAACAUAACUCUUAAGAAUAUUGUUAAGGUUUUUGCAAGUGAUAUUGGCCGCCCAACUGAUGAACUAGUAUGUCUAUCAAUACCAAUUAUUACCAACAAGCUUCCAACAUGUUCCGUUGAUGACAUCCUUAGCAAAUUGAUUCCACCUGUUCACAACGACAAACCUGAAGGCAGUGGAGCAAGCAAGAAUAAUUAAAAGUGGAACAAAUUGAGGACUUUCAUAAUUUGUUGAUUUGAAUUUACUUUUAUCGUUGUUGUCAGUUUCAAAUAUUGUGCGUGUUUACACGACUUUGUUAUGUAUUACAAUUAGUGAAGUACUAAAGUCAACUUCAUGAAUGUGUUGUCGCAUUAAGUGGUAAUGUAAUGUAUGUUAUGUUCUAAGUUUUAUAUGAUGUUGAUGUGAUAUAAAAAAAAAUUGACAAAUUC